rnacentral:lncRNA from 1 species
AUUGUUGCUUCGGCUGUUUAUCUUGCACGUUGUACCCUCAACAAGAGAGCCCUUAUGAACCAAAAUACUGAGUACUCUCGUAGAAUCAACUAAGGUAAUAUAUUCUUAUGUAUGGAGUUUCAACUAACCUUAGAUAUAAUUACUAGAAUUUGGAGCGACUCAUUCUAGUAAAAUUAAAUUAUUAAAUGUGAUGAUAAUAAGAACAUUGAUGAGGAUUUAUUUAUUUUUUCCUGUUAGUAAAAUCUCAUUAUUGUUUUGUUCCUUGGGUGUGCAUCAUUUCUUUUAGUAAAUGCUGUCCUCUUACUUUGGAUUCUUGUAUGGGAAAUUGUUAACUUCUGAUUUCAUUUCAGUCCGAUACUUUAUUAGAAAGUAUUGGAUGUUUGUGUUGAUUACAGGUCAAAAGUCUCUUUUUAUAUAUUAUGAAGUUUUCAGUUUUUAAGGUUCAACUUGAAUUAACAAAUUUUUUUUAAAGUCCCAAAUUGAUAUGUAUUGCUUUUCUGCUAUUGUAGAUGGCUAUUUUGGUGUAUUUCCUUGCUGAAACCUGCCAAACAGUGAUUGUUGCUUCGGCUGUUUAUCUUGCACGAUGUACCCUCAACAAGAGAGCCCUUAUGAACCAAAAUACUGAGUACUCUCGGAGAAUCAACUAAGGUAAUAUAUUCUUUUGUAUGGAGUUUCAACUAACCUUGGACAUAAUUAGUAGAAUUUGGAGCGACUCAUUUUUGUAAAAUGAAAUUAUUAAAUGUGAUGAUAAUAAGAACAUUGAUGAGGAUUUAUUUAUUUUUCCUGUUAGUAAAAUCUCAUUAUUGUUCUGUUCCUUGGGUGUGCAUCAUUUCUUUUAGUAAAUGUUGUCCUCUUACUUUGGAUUCUUGUAUGGGAAAUUGUUGACCUCUGAUUUCAUUUCAGUCCGAUACUUUAUAAGAAAGUAUUGGAUGUUUGUGUUGAUUACAGGUAGAAAGUCUUUUUUUUGUUGACAUUUAUAAUAUUACCUAGCUUACAUCAAUUUAAUGGAGAAAUUGAGUUUUCCAUUAUUUUUUCUUGAAAUCUUUAAAGGUGUUAAUAGUUCGCACACCAUAAAUAAUCUCUUUAUAUAUAUGAAGUUUUUAGUUUUUAAGGUUCAACUUGAAUAAGCAAAUUUUUUUAAAAGUCCCAAAUUGAUAUGUAUUGCUUUUCUGCUAUUGUAGAUGGCAAUUUUGGUGUAUUUCCUUGCUGAAACUUGCCAAACAGUGAUUGUUUCUUCGGCUGUUUAUCUUGCACGUUGUACCCUCAACAAGAGAGCCCUUAUGAACUAAAAUACUGAGUACUCUCGGAGAAUCAACUAAGGUAAUAUAUUCUUUUGUAUGGAGUUUCAACUAAGCUCAGAUAUAAUUACUAGAAUUUGGAGCAACUCAUUUUAGUAAAAUGAAAUUAUUAAAUGUGAUGAUAAUAAGAACAUUGAUGAGGAUUUAUUUAUUUUUCCUGCUAGUAAAAUCUCAUUAUUGUUCUGUUCC